rnacentral:rRNA from 1 species
CGGGGGGUGCAAACGUUGCUCGGAAUUAUUGGGCGUAAAGCGCGCGUAGGCGGCUUCUUAUGUCGGAUGUGAAAGCCCCUGGCUCAACUGGGGAAGUGCACCCGAAACUGAGUGGCUGGAGUACGAAAGAGGGUCGCGGAAUUCCCGGUGUAGAGGUGAAAUUCGUAGAUAUCGGGAGGAACACCGGUGGCGAAGGCGGCGACCUGGGUCGAUACUGACGCUGAGGCGCGAAAGCGUGGGGAGCAAACAGGAUUAGAUACCCUGGUAGUCCACGCCGUAAACGAUGAGUGCUAGAUGUUUCUGGUAUUGACCCCGGAGGCGUCGUAGCUAACGCGUUAAGCACUCCGCCUGGGGAGUACGGCCGCAAGGCUA